rnacentral:rRNA from 1 species
UACGGGGGGGGGCAAGCGUUGUUCGGAAUUACUGGGCGUAAAGGGCUCGUAGGCGGCCAACUAAGUCAGACGUGAAAUCCCUCGGCUUAACCGGGGAACUGCGUCUGAUACUGGAUGGCUUGAGUUUGGGAGAGGGAUGCGGAAUUCCAGGUGUAGAGGUGAAAUUCGUAGAUAUCGGGAGGAACACCAGUGGCGAAGGCGGCGACCUGGGCCAAUACUGACGCUGAGGUGCGAAAGCGUGGGGAGCAAACAGG